AACGAACGCUGGCGGCAGGCUUAACACAUGCAAGUCGAGCGCCCCGCAAGGGGAGCGGCAGACGGGUGAGUAACACGUGGGGAUCUGCCCGAUGGUACGGAAUAGCUCCGAGAAACUGGAAUUAAUACCGUAUGUGCCCGCAAGGGGAAAGAUUUAUCGCCAUCGGAUGAACCCGCGUCGGAUUAGCUAGUUGGUGUGGUAAAGGCGCACCAAGGCGACGAUCCGUAGCUGGUCUGAGAGGAUGAUCAGCCACACUGGGACUGAGACACGGCCCAGACUCCUACGGGAGGCAGCAGUGGGGAAUAUUGGACAAUGGGCGCAAGCCUGAUCCAGCCAUGCCGCGUGAGUGAUGAAGGCCUUAGGGUUGUAAAGCUCUUUCGCCGACGAAGAUAAUGACAGUACCGGGAGAAUAAGCCCCGGCUAACUCCGUGCCAGCCGCCGCAGUAAGAC
rnacentral:rRNA from 1 species